GCCCGCCUAGCUCAAUCGGAUAGAGCGUCAGACUUUUAAGUCUACCUCAUGUUAGGCGACAAAGGCGAUCUGAAGGCUGCGAGUUCGACCCUCGCGGUGGGCU